GACGAACGCUGGCGGCGUGCCUAAUACAUGCAAGUUGAGCGAUGAAGAUUGGUGCUUGCACCAAUUUGAAGAGCAGCGAACGGGUGAGUAACGCGUGGGGAAUCUGCCUUUGAGCGGGGGACAACAUUUGGAAACGAAUGCUAAUACCGCAUAAUAACUUUAAACAUAAGUUUUAAGUUUGAAAGAUGCAAUUGCAUCACUCAAAGAUGAUCCCGCGUUGUAUUAGCUAGUUGGUGAGGUAAAGGCUCACCAAGGCGAUGAUACAUAGCCGACCUGAGAGGGUGAUCGGCCACAUUGGGACUGAGACACGGCCCAAACUCCUACGGGAGGCAGCAGUAGGGAAUCUUCGGCAAUGGACGAAAGUCUGACCGAGCAACGCCGCGUGAGUGAAGAAGGUUUUCGGAUCGUAAAACUCUGUUGGUAGAGAAGAGCGUUGGUGAGAGUGGAAAGCUCAUCAAGUGACGGUAACUACCCAGAAAGGGACGGCUAACUACGUG
rnacentral:rRNA from 1 species